ensembl:lncRNA
UAUAGAAUAAAAACAAAGAAAAAAACCCAUGCAAUUCACUUUAACACAUCUUCUGGGACAGAAGCACACUCUGUAUUGCACUAGAGCUAUUACUUAAUUGCAUACAAAGUCAGUUCAUUAUCUUCUCUUGCAGCCUCAUGUGAGCGUUGAGCAGAAAGACAAGAAACAUGAAAUGAGUUCAGAAUAACAUUGCACGCCUCAAAAGAAUAUAAGCCUGGAAAGUAAACCUCUGUUGUCUUUCCUAAUAUGAAGAAAAUGAGCUAGCUUAAAAUUACUCUUGCCACUGUAGGUCAAACAGGAGACUAUGGAGAUGAGAUCAGUAUCCUAAGCUGGAGGGACUGCGCUGGUGGUUCAGCACUUCUGCAUGAGCACAAUUAAUUACAUAGGUCGACUGAAAAGAAGGUGGAUGUGUAAGAAGCCCAUGACAACUUCUCCCCUAGCCCUGGAAGGAGAGAGGAAAUGAACUGUCUGGUGACAACAGAGACUGAAAAUUUAAAGUUGCUUUAUGGAGUUAAUGGGAAGGAACUGAUCUGGGAACUGUACUGAUAUGGGAGUUAUAUAUUGCAAGGGAAUUGCUUUAUUAGGUUUAAUAUUGGAGUUCUACCUUUUUAAACCCUAUUAAGUGCUCAAUUUUGACUGGAAUCACUGCAGAUUUAAGGAAUAUGGUCAGGAAGUAAUGGUUAUGAGAACAAAAACAAGGUGAAAAUGAACAGAACAUAUUUUGUCCUUAAGCCAAAUGUGAU